GCUCCCUGAUGUUAGCGGCGGACGGGUGAGUAACACGUGGGUAACCUGCCUGUAAGACUGGGAUAACUCCGGGAAACCGGGGCUAAUACCGGAUGGUUGUUUGAACCGCAUGGUUCAAACAUAAAAGGUGGCUUCGGCUACCACUUACAGAUGGACCCGCGGCGCAAUAGCUAGUUGGUGAGGUAACGGCUCACCAAGGCAACGAUGCGUAGCCGACCUGAGAGGGUGAUCGGCCACACUGGGACUGAGACACGGCCCAGACUCCUACGGGAGGCAGCAGUAGGGAAUCUUCCGCAAUGGACGAAAGUCUGACGGAGCAACGCCGCGUGAGUGAUGAAGGUUUUCGGAUCGUAAAGCUCUGUUGUUAGGGAAGAACAAGUACCGUUCGAAUAGGGCGGUACCUUGACGGUACCUAACCAGAAAGCCACGGCUAACUACGUGCCAGCAGCCGCGGUAAUACGUAGGUGGCAAGCGUUGUCCGGAAUUAUUGGGCGUAAAGGGCUCGCAGGCGGUUUCUUAAGUCUGAUGUGAAAGCCCCCGGCUCAACCGGGGAGGGUCAUUGGAAACUGGGGAACUUGAGUGCAGAAGAGGAGAGUGGAAUUCCACGUGUAGCGGUGAAAUGCGUAGAGAUGUGGAGGAACACCAGUGGCGAAGGCGACUCUCUGGUCUGUAACUGACGCUGAGGAGCGAAAGCGUGGGGAGCGAACAGGAUUAGAUACCCUGGUAGUCCACCCCGUAAACGAUGAGUGCUAAGUGUUAGGGGGGUUUCCGCCCCUUAGUGCUGCAGCUAACGCAUUAAGCACUCCGCCUGGGGAGUACGGUCGCAAGACUGAAACUCAAAGGAAUUGACGGGGGCCCGCACCAGCGGUGGAGCAUGUGGUUUAAUUUGAAGCAACGCGAAGAACCUUACCAGGUCUUGACAUCCUCUGACAAUCCUAGAGAUAGGACGUCCCCUUCGGGGGCAGAGUGACAGGUGGUGCAUGGUUGUCGUCAGCUCGUGUCGUGAGAUGUUGGGUUAAGUCCCGCAACGAGCGCAACCCUUGAUCUUAGUUGCCAGCAUUCAGUUGGGCACUUUAAGGUGACUGCCGGUGACAAACCGGAGGAAGGUGGGGAUGACGUCAAAUCAUCAUGCCCCUUAUGACCUGGGCUACACACGUGCUACAAUGGACAGAACAAAGGGCAGCGAAACCGCGAGGUUAAGCCAAUCCCACAAAUCUGUUUUCAGUUCGGAUCGCAGUUUGCAACUCGACUGCGUGAAGCUGGAAUCGCUAGUAAUCGCGGAUCAGCAUGCCGCGGUGAAUACGUUCCCGGGCCUUGUACACACCGCCCGUCACACCACGAGAGUUUGUAACACCCGAAGU
rnacentral:rRNA from 1 species